CUCUUAUCCAGAGAGGCGGAGGGAACUGGCCCUGCGAAGCCUCGGCAACCGUGUUACAGGUGCUAAUUCCAGCAAAGCUAUGCGCUUUGGCAGAUAAGAG
rnacentral:ncRNA from 1 species